rnacentral:tmRNA from 1 species
GGGGCCGAAAGGUUUCGACAGUGUGCGUAAUAAAUACGUAAGCAUGCCGGGUGCUGUGAGAACGACCCGUAAAUCCCGAUUCACAACUCGCUUAAAUGGCGAAACAAACUACGCGCUUGCGGCUUAAUUCUUCCAAGAAGAAUUGCCUGAUGCUGCCACCAGGUGGUAGCACAAGCUGUCCUACGCAGACUUAAGUUCAUAGCGUUUGCGAAAAGGGCAUCACAGAUAUGAACUGGCUGCUGUUGUGCUCUGCAACAUCAGUGAGAAAACAAGGGCUAAGGAUAGAACUGACAGGCAGGUAGUCUUGUUUUAUCCCUACAAUUAAAUAUCUGCUAGAUGUAGAAAGUGUAUGGAUUCCAUAUCUGGACGUGAGUUCAAAUCUCACCGGCUCCACUU